GAAAUUGUGAGCGGGAGAAACAGUACUAGUUGCAGGCCAAGUGAUCAGACAGUUUACCUUCUUGAUUCGGCUUACGUGUUGCAAGAGCAGGGAAAUUUGAUGGAUCUAGUUGAUCCAAAACUUGGAACAGAUUAUUCUUGGACAGAAGCUAAAACCAUUCUGGAAUUAGCGAUGAUGUGCACUAAUCCAUCACCAACUCUCAGGCCAACCACGUCUGAGGUAGUGAAAGUUAUUGAAGGAAAAACUAAAAUCAAGACCACAUCUUCAACAGUCCGGCGUUCAACAGACGAGAUUGCAUUGACUAAGGCCAUGGCUGCACUCUCUCAGCCUUCUCCAUCUGAAAGCUAUUCUACCGCAGGGCCAUCAGAAGCUACUCCUCCCAUAUCUAACAGCAACAAUAUUACCAAUGAAAUUUGAAUUCAACUUCUCCCAUUCAUGAAUAUUUCCCAGAUGAUUACUGUACUUAGACAAUGAAG
rnacentral:misc_RNA from 1 species